AAUGCUUUCAGCACCUUGUUGAAUCAAUGCCAUGUAGAAUUUAGGCAGUUUUGAAGGCGAAAGGGGGUCAAACACAGUAUUAGUAUGGUGUUCCUAAUAAUCCUUUAGGUGAGUGUAGAUUUGUCUGUUGAGGGUUGUGGGUGUAUGUUUAGAGCAGGCUAUAGUCAACAGAGUUUGCUAUAGUCAUUAGAGCGUGCUAUAGUUAACAGAGCAUGCUAUAGUUAACAGAGUGGGCUAUAGUCAUUAGAGCAUGCUAUAGUUAACAGAGCAUGCUAUAGUUAACAGAGCAUGCUAUAGUUAACAGAGUGGGCUAUAGUCAAUAGAGCAUGCUAUAGUUUACAGAGUUGACUAUAGUCAUUAGAGCAUGCUAUAGUUAACAGAGCAUGCUAUAGUUAACAGAGUGGGCUAUAGUCAAUAGAGCAGGCUAUAGUUAACAGAGCAUGCUAUAGUUAACAGAGUGGGCUAUAGUCAAUAGAGCAUGCUAUAGUUAACAGAGCAUGCUAUAGUUAACAGAGUGGGCUAUAGUCAAUAGAGCAGGCUAUAGUUAACAGAGCAUGCUAUAGUUAACAGAGUGGGCUAUAGUCAAUAGAGCAUGCUAUAGUUAACAGAGCAUGCUAUAGUUAACAGAGCAUGCUAUAGUUAACAGAGCAUGCUAUAGUUAACAGAGUGGGCUAUAUUUCAAUGAUGGCCACCCCUCAGAACCACCCCUAUAGUUGAUUACUGUUGCUGUAUGUGGCUCUUCUUCUGUAAGGCCUACUGUCAGAGACAGACAGAUUGAUGGGUUGUCAGACAGACAGAUAAUUUGUCGGACAGACAGACAGAUAAUUUGUCAAACUGACAGACAGACAAACAAAUGGGGUUUUCGGACAAACUGACAGACAGACGAACAAAUGGGGUUUUCGGACAAACUGACAGACAGACGAACAAAUGGGGUUUUCGGACAAACUGACAGAUAGACAAACAGAUGGUUUGUUGGACAGACAUAGAGAUGGUUUGUCAGACAGAGAUAGACAGAUAGGUUGUCGGACAGACAGAUGCGUUGUCAGACAGAGUUUGUCAGACAGAGAUAGACAGUUGGGUUGUCGGACAGACAGACAGAUGGUUUGUCAGACAGACAGAUAGAGAAAUGGGUUGAAAGACAGACAGACAAACAGACAGAUGUGUUAUUAGACAGACAGACAUGCGGUUUGUCAGUCAGACAGACAGACAGAUGUGUUAUUGGACAGACAGAUAGACAGAAAGAUGGUUUGUCAGCCAGACAGACAGGUUGUUGGAGAGGGAGUAUCUCAUUGAACUAUAAAUACUAACUCUGGUUUAAAUUUCAACACGGCAGCUGCAAGUGAUGUUGGAUCUAUAUGUGUUAU
ensembl:lncRNA